AUUGAACGCUGGCGGCAGGCCUAACACAUGCAAGUCGAACGCGUGGCGGACGGGUGAGUAAUGUCUGGGACACUGCCCGAUGGAGGGGGAUAACUACUGGAAACAGUAGCUAAUACCGCAUACCCUAGUAUGUGCCGAGAUGGGAUUGGCUAGGAGGGGGGGUAACGGCGCACUGAGGCGAGGAUCCCUAGCUGGUCUGAGAGGAUGACCAGCCACACUGGAACGGGGACAUGGUCCAGACUCCUACGGGAGGCAGCAGUGGGGAAGAUUGCACAAGGGGCGCAAGCCUGAUGCAGCCAUGCCGCGUGUAUGAAGAAGGCCUUCGGGUUGUAAAGUACUUUCAGCGAGGAGGCGUUACUCGCAGAAGAAGCACCGGCUAACUCCGUGCCAGCAGCCGCGGUAAUUC
rnacentral:rRNA from 1 species